rnacentral:rRNA from 1 species
UACGUAGGGGGCAAGCGUUGUCCGGAUUUAUUGGGCGUAAAGAGCGUGUAGGCAGCCAGACAGGUCCGUUGUGAAAACUCGAGGCUCAACCUCGAGAUGUCGAUGGAAACCGUCUGGCUAGAGUCCGGAAGAGGAGUGUGGAAUUCCUGGUGUAGCGGUGAAAUGCGCAGAUAUCAGGAAGAACACCUAUGGCGAAGGCAGCACUCUGGGACGGUACUGACGCUGAGGCGCGAAAGCGUGGGGAGCGAACAGG